rnacentral:miRNA from 1 species
GAUGAACUCAUUGUAAUAUGAG